UGCCUUCUGCACCUCUACGACAUCCCAAACACCCUCUCCAAAAUAUGUUCUCAGAAUAAACAAACAGCAAAAACCGGAGCUGGAAAUAGCUCUGGAUCCAUUGUUGAUUGUUUUGGUCAAACAGCGGUAAUUCAGUGGCAGGUAGCAGGAUGUAGCUCUGAACAGGAUGUUCACCUUCUGGACAGGUUCGACUGCCUCUGUGGUUUCCUCUUAAAUUUUGUGUUCCUUCCUUUGGUUUCCUUUUUCUCUUCAUUUAGUUGCAAAAAAAUCUCCGGGAUGAAACACAAUAUGUGAGAACUCUUGAGUCUCUCCUUGCGUUGGCAAAUGUGAUUUCGCUAAUUUCAUUCAUAACCAGGGAUAUUUUCUUCUCUUUUUCCACAAGUGGUUUGAUUGCUUUUCGGGUGAGCGACGGCGUUUUUUUUUUAUUUUUUUUUAUCAGGUGUAUAAUUUUAGAUUGAUACUAACAUCACAACAGUGUGAUGUUACACUGUGACUGGUAACAAUGAAAGAAAAGUCUUGGCAUAAAUACAGCUGUUCUGCAAAGGCCUCAGAGGUGCGUUUCAGAAACGUCGGGUAAGAUUGAAACUAAAAUUAAAAUUCAUGUUCAUUUGUUAGAAUGACCUAGUCAAAGUCCAAACUUAAUUGUUAUUUAGAAUCUCUUUCAAACACUGAGCAUUGAUUAUUAUGGACCCUUAGUUUUCAGAUGACUAAACUUUCAAGUUAGAAUUGGCAAAAAUGUCACAAACUACAGGGUUCAUUGAAAUACAACCCAAAUGACAUGCAAUUGCAAUUGGAAAGGAUUGUUGUUCCAUAAAGUAUCAGUUCAUUUUGUUUGUAAAACGAUUUGAAAACCUUGCAUAAUUUUGCCUCUACUUCAUAAUUAUGCACAACUUUCUUUCUAUCCGUCAGAUAAAAUCCCAAUAUAUUUCUUUGAAAAUUGUGGUUGUAACAGGAUAAGCGGGACAUUGUAAGAUUUCAAAAUAUUACAGCUGAUGAAGCUGACUGAAGUGUCUUCUCUGACAAAUAUCAUAGUCAUCUGUCCAUUUUGUACUCUGCCUCGCAACCCAUGACCGUUCAUCGGCCUGGUCGAGGGAUUUAUGAUUUAUACGUACUUUAUGCUUAUAAGUACUCAGCACUACUUCAGUUGUGUGAGAUUUUUAAAGGCAUCAUUUAUCACCUCUCGAGGAAACUAAAAUUAUUUAAAAUACAUCAGAGAAAUGAAAGCACUGCAUGUAAAAUACCUGAAUAGCCAAAGAAUGUAAAAAAUACAUCGAUAAAAUAAGUUUUUGCCUGCAGUAAAACAUACUUUUGUUCAUAUAAGAAUUCUCUUUCCCAUUAGGUUGUUUUCUAUCCAGUUUUUACCUAAUAAGCUCAGUCAAAAACUUGCCACACUUCCACUUCCUGUCAAAGCACCUCCCAAAGGUUUCUGUGAAAUACUGCUGCAGAUCUACAGAUCUGUGCAGUUUGGAAACAAAAGACCAAGAGUUUUACUUUGCUAAUGUUCCACAAUGAUAACUUUGGCUGUAUCUACUUCAGACAGAUUUCUGAACUUUCGGGCAAUCCGUGUCAAAGAUGUAAUAAAACAUGGGGUUGAGGCUGUGAAAUUAAUGAGCAGUACCAUUUUAGGAGGCGCACCUCCUCAUCACACGCUCCCCAAACAGUUUGUUGUUUUGUCUCUAAAUGAGAAAUUCUUUACAUGCCACUGAUCCGAUGUUUUCUGUAAAUGGAAAACGAGAAAAGAAAAAAAAAAUCCCAUUCCUGGGGAUGAAUACUGAGGCUUCAGAGUGUGUUUUAAAGGGAGAAAGACUGCCCUGACUCUCCUAGUCUGAGGUUCGUCUUUGUCAUAAACAUAACUGAUAUCGACACAACACACACACGCAAACACACACACUCAUAAACACACAUGACUGGGAAGGCUCAUGUGAGUGAAGUCAGUGGUCUAAUCUUGCAGCCUGGUACCAUCAGGCCUGUAUUUACUCUCCAGGCCAUCAGCUUGGAACAACAUGAAGUGGAAACACGCACAGGGCUUAUUAAUCCGAGCAGAGAGAGAAAACGAGAGGCUCUCUGGCUUCUAUCAAAGUAAGGAACAGAAUGAGAAGUCUGAAACUGAGCAGGAUGUUCUAUUAAUUAAUAAACAACAAUUUAUUGCCAAACUACACAAAGGUUUUUGCAGUAUCAAAAAUGUGGCGCUUUGAAAACUUUGUGGUUUUGAUGGUGGCAACUCACAACCUUCCCAAAAUUAUCAAGCCAGUUAAGUGACGACAUGGAUAUCGUUCUCUGCAAAGACCUUUAUUGUUUUUUAAAGUCAAUAUCAUUAUACUACCUUGUGGGAAGCUGUGAGCAUUUUAAUCAUCAGUCUAAUUUUUUAGAAAGAAAAAAAAGAGAAAUUGUUGUCUUCUUGGCUGCCUCCAAAGCAAAGUGUGCAGCCUUCACUACUUCGCACCAAGAUGGCCUCAGAUGCAGAAAACUGCUGCUAAGACGUUUUGGUCAUCAAGAACUUCAUCACCAGAGGCAAGAGUCCAACAAGCUCCACGAUCGUCUUUUCCUAACGAAGAGAGACUCACAGCUCGCACUUACCACCGGGGCAGAGUUUGCUCAACAGUGGCAGCAGAGAAGAAAAAGGGAGAUCAUGAGUCCUAUUUGCUUUAACCAAUGGAGCAUCUUGAUCCUCCGAGAGCACCUACCGUGAAUAAAGAGUGGGAUGGAAACCUCCUGACAGAGCAACUCUUUCCAGGCACAGUUUGUUUUUCUUUGUUUCCAGCAUUGUGUCAUAGGGCAAAGGUGAUAACAAAGUGACUCGUAAGAUCAGAACACUGACAUUUUGUUUCUGCGAUUGAGAAACUCCCCAGAUCUUAACUGCAGUAAGAACCCAUGGAAAAAACAGUGGUCAACUCCAAACUUCAAUAAAACACGGCUGACUGGGACAGCAUCAGUCAGGACUGAGUCCAAACACUGGUAUCCGAGACGUCAGAGAGGAUUGCAGAACCUAUGAAGAAGAAGGAUCAGCCCUGGAAGUAUUGACUGUUUGCAUGAAGUUUAUGUAUCUGCUGAUAAAAGCCUUUAAAACAUCC